rnacentral:rRNA from 1 species
AGAACGAACGCUGGCGGCAUGGAUUAGGCAUGCAAGUCGAACGAAGCAGCAAUGCUUAGUGGCGGAAGGGUGAGGAACGCGUGAGUAAUCUGCCCCAAGUUGGGAAUAACAGCUGGAAACGGUUGCUAAUACCGAAUGUGGCUGCCUGGUCGCAUGAUCGGGCAGUUAAAGAUUUAUUGCUUGGGGAUGAGCUCGCGUCCCAUUAGCUAGUUGGCGGGGCAACGGCCCACAAAGGCGAUGAUGGGUAGCUGGUCUGAGAGGAUGGUCAGCCACACUGGGACUGAGACACUGCCCAGACUCCUACGGGAGGCUGCAGUCGAGAAUCUUGGGCAAUGCGCGAAAGCGUGACCCAGCAAUGCCGCGUGCGUGAUGAAGGUCUUCGGAUUGUAAAGCGCUGUCAACCGGGACGAAAGAUGACGGUACCGGUGAAGGAAGCCACGGCUAACUACGUGCCAGCCGCUGC